rnacentral:rRNA from 1 species
CUACGGGUCGCUCCAGUGGGGAAUAUUGCACAAUGGGCGCAAGCCUGAUGCAGCCAUGCCGCGUGUAUGAAGAAGGCCUUCGGGUUGUAAAGUACUUUCAGCGGGGAGGAAGGGAGUAAAGUUAAUACCUUUGCUCAUUGACGUUACCCGCAGAAGAAGCACCGGCUAACUCCGUGCCAGGCAGCCGCGGUAAUACGGAGGGGCAAGCGUUAAUCGGAAUUACUGGGCGUAAAGCGCACGCAGGCGGUUUGUUAAGUCAGAUGUGAAAUCCCCGGGCUCAACCUGGGAACUGCAUCUGAUACUGGCAAGCUUGAGUCUCGUAGAGGGGGGUAGAAUUCCAGGUGUAGCGGUGAAAUGCGUAGAGAUCUGGAGGAAUACCGGUGGCGAAGGCGGCCCCCUGGACGAAGACUGACGCUCAGGUGCGAAAGCGUGGGGAGCAAACAGGAUUAGAUACCCGUGUAGUC